GAGAGCUUAAAAAAUUUCAUUUGAUAAGUGAAAAACCGACUUAUCGAUGCAAAGACGAUGCUCAACAUAUGACGUUAGCUGAUAUUAUUAACGAAUCACUAAGUCAUAAGCUGACGUUCUUAGCUGUCGUUGACGUCACUGAUCGAACGAAUGACAUAGGCGAAGGGAAACAAUGGCCGCUAAACGACGUCAUGUUUUUGUAUUUGUUAAGCGAUAUUAUGCUAUGGAUAGACAUAUGUCUGAUGGACAUUUUUAAGGUGGGUGGCGCAUUUACGUUGUAGAUGUCUAUGGGCUCCAGUAACCACUCAACACCAGAUGGGCUGUGAGCUCGUCCAACCAUCUAAGCAAUAAAAAAAAUCUGACGUCAAAUGGUUACAGCAGUCCUCCUCAAAAAUUGAUCGUCACCAGAAAACUGGAGCGAAAAAUGAUAGAGUCCAAUACGCCUAACAGGCCGAAUCAAGGUCGCCGAGACAUCAUGUGCAGCUGAGAGUCGGAAUUAUUGGAGGAACAUCAUACGGAAAAAUGGUGAUCACAACCUCCAGCAUUGAGGAUUUGACGCAAGGAGAUUGCAGAGGUUACCGGAACCUAUCGACGCUGCCACACGACUUGGGACAUGAAUUCCAUCUCAAUUGUAUUAAAAAUAUAUCAUACUAAUAAUAUAAAUGUAGUUUGUGAAGACUUUUGGUGUUUGUUACUCAAUCAUGCUUAAACAGUUAAUCAGAUUUGGAUGUAAUGUUUUCCUUUGGGAUUCCAACUUUGAUCAAAGUUUAGUUCUGACAUUCAUUAAUAUAUGGUAUUAUAGCUUUAAUCAUAAUACACAUUAUAAUCACAGUGAUGGCUUCCCAUGGGAAUAGUUUAAUUUUAAUAUUAUUUUAACUGGGAUUUAAUUUGGCAGAAGUAACUAUUAUAAUCAUUCCGAUUUCCUCAGUUGAUGGCGUGCGUGUCGAUUUAGAUAGCGUAAUAACAAUAUGGUUUCAUCAACGUGAUUAAAAACUUCUUUGUUUUAAAGAAUUUAAAGAUUGUCAAUCUGUGUUAUAUGUGAUAAUAGCCUAACAGCUUAGCUUACUUUACUGAUGACAAUUUAUUUUAAGAAUAGCCAUUGUUGACAAAUGGCCAUUAAUAAAUCGAAGGGCCAGUGGCAGGAAUUCACCUGGGCACUCGUGUGUUUUUCACACGCUCAGUGUUAGUUGACAACAGAGAUGGAUAAUUUUCUAUCACAUUUUUUAGAUUCCAAGAUAUUUAGGCUUUGUUUCCCAUAUAGUUUAGAAUCAGUCUUAUGUGUUUUGUAAGAUCUCUGUAAUAUUAUUAAAGAAAAUAAUUGUCUUUAAAAUGUAUUAAAAUUUCUCAUAUUUUAACCCAAAACACAUGAUCGCUUCAUGGCAGAAAUAUGCAAGCAUAUUACUACUGCCAGUACAAGUGAGUUUGGGGUUAUCAAAUUUGUCCUAACAAGUUCUAUUCACUACAUUUGAGAGACAGGUAGCAGAUGAUGAGCCUGGAAGGUGAACAUGGCAACUCCUCAAUGAUGCCUAGAUCAAACAAAUAGCAUUAACACGAUUUGUGUUGUCUCUACAUAAGACGGUGACAUAUAGAAGUAUUUUAAGCCUAUUUAACCUAGUAAAACUAUAAAAGGUUUGAUGCUAUUUUGACUAGCUUAAAUCUGGACAAAAGCUCUAAGAUCCACCUCCUUGAUGCAAAAUGGCUGGACAAAGCAAUCGCUGCAGUGGUAUACCCUGAGAAGCCCUAUCAUAGUCUCACCAUAACAUGAAUUAAAAAUAUGUUAUAUCAAUAUGGAGAAUGUUAGCGUGUUUCAUAUAUUUGUUAGAAUUAUUGUAUAUUAUCACUGGUGGUAGGCUACAGAAGCAUUUUCAAAAUAAGAUUAAACAACUACUGUGAUGACAAAUUUUAUUAUAAGUAGGUUUCCCACAGUUAUAACAUAUUAUUAUGUAAUACAGAAAUAUGUUCUGUUUUUAAUAGCAGUUUAAAUCCUAUUUAGUGACUAAUCAAUUUUUGUUUUCAUGUUAUAAUUAAUAUAACAGUAAUUAUUGUUAGCUAAUGCAUAAGGAAAUGCUAUUAUUAUGUUGACAAAAUAUCUGAAUAUUCAAUAAAAUAAUGAAUAAAUAAUGAAAUAACAUUUUAA